rnacentral:rRNA from 1 species
AUUGAACGCUGGCGGCAGGCCUAACACAUGCAAGUCGAGCGAGCGGCGGACGGGUGAGUAAUGUAUGGGGACUGCCCGUUAGAGGGGGAUAACUACUGGAACCGGUAGCUAAUACCGCAUACUAUCGGAUAACCCAUAUGGGAUUAGCUAGUAGGUGAGGUAAUGGCUCACCUAGGCGACGAUCCCUAGCUGGUCUGAGAGGGUGAUAAGGCCAACGGGGACUGAGACACGGCCCAGACUCCCACGGAGGCAGCAGUGGGGAAUAUUGCAGCAAGGGCGCAAGCCUGAUGCAGCCAUGCCGGGGGUAGGAAGAAGGCCCUAGGGUUGUAAAGUACUUUCAGUCGGGAGGCGUUUACGAAAGAAGAAGCACCGGCUAACUCCGUGCCAGCAGCCGGGGUAAUUC